AAUUCAUGGCAAAACAGCUGUUUAUGAAAAAUUAGUCGACAAAUUAAUGUUAUGUCUCAGAAUGUAUAAACUGUUACAACUAUUGCAGUGAGAACCUCAAAUUCUACGAAUUAAUGUUGUUUUUACGCAUGAAACAUUGGUGUUCUGUCUGUUGUGCCCUUACAGUUCUACCCUGAAGAUGGAGGCAGCAAAUUCUUCUAAAAACUUCCACAGCAUUGCCACGGUACAUGAUAUGACAACCCAGAAGAUGGCAGUCUUCAUGGUCACGGAUGCAAGAACCUAGAAUCUCACACUGUUACAGUUUUAGGAACUGAAAUUUUCUAUAUUCUUAUAUUAAAAUACAAAUACACUUACACAGGAAGUCUAUAUGUACACAGACAUACUUAAGGGCAUAUACAAUGGGAUGAAGUAAUAAAGAGUAUGAUUUUGACUAGUACAGUUCUCCUGUAUAUAGAUUCAAUAAAAUGAAAUUAUUUGA